CUCUGUAAUAGAGUCAAUUGAGCAGACAAUGACGUUGCUUCUGUUUGCAGUGUCUGCACUUUCCGUUCAAGUUCAGCUAUGUAUCGCAUUUUCCUUUCCUUUGACCUUGCAGCAGAUUGUCUAUUUGCCCAAAUCCUUUUUGCACGUUUGGGAUCAAUAAGAGCAAGUUCAGCAAGCUUUGCAGCAGACACGGCUUUCUUAGAAUCAGCUGGAGAGACGUCCUCUGCACCAGAUAUGAGCAUCUCUGGCUUGAUAGUGGUCGAUCCAUCCAUUGACUGGCUGUGUUGAUGCCUAACUCUAGGCCUUUCACUAGGGCCAACACUGACAUUAGCUGGUACUGCUGGUGCUGGUGCCGCCGCUGGUGCUGGAGUUGAUGACUCCCCCAAUUGAAAAACCGAAGUAGCAGAGGUUGAAUUAAACUUAUCCAUAUCAAGGUACAUUGACAACAAAUCUUCCUCAGUCUCAUCGGAGAAAGAAGGCCCAUCUGCACCACCUACUACGCCAAGAUCACUAUCAAAGCUAAUAUCAUCAGGGAGAGUGAGAAUCUCUGAAUGAGCACGACGGUGACCUAUAUUCUUAGGUGGGUUAUCAGGCAUUCGGCUAAUGUCAUGACUAAAGCGGCUAGCAUCUGAUCCAUGACCGAAAUGACUAGGGUCUGAACUAUUACCUGGAGCCAUCGGAGGAAAUGCAGACGAUGAUGGCUCAGGGUUCACAUUAAAAGAACCAGGCGGUGAAAAACUAGAGAAACGACUAGACGGAGGUGGCAAACCACCACUAUGACCUGGGGAUUUAUCCUUAUACAUCCACAGAAAGCUCAGAACCCACUCAGAAAACCACAAGUAUAAAACGCCUAAAACAGAUUUUGCACAGACCAGAAGGGAAAACGCCAAUAGGCUAUACUAUUAAGGUAUGCACCACCCAAAAUCCUAACACUUGGAGUGCAAACGAACCCUAGGGCACAGAAAUUACAGUCUCUUCAAAUGAAUGAUUAUAAAACACUAUAAUACAUAAAUGAUACUCCAAUACAAGAGAUUAACCGUUACAAAUCUCACAAAAACUUUAGAUUG
rnacentral:misc_RNA from 1 species